rnacentral:rRNA from 1 species
GACUACUGGGGUAUCUAAUCCCGUUCGCUACCCUAGCUUUCGAGUCUGAGUGUCAGGAUCAGACCAGGGGGCCGCUUUCGCCACAGGUGUUCCUGCCGAUAUCUACGCAUUUCACCACUACACCGGCAAUUCCACCCCCCUCUUCUGCCCUCAAGUCGCGCAGUAUUGAAUGACCCUUCCCAGUUAGGCUGGGAAAUUUCACAUCCAACUUACGCAACCACCUGCACUCGCUUUACGCCCAGUGAAUCCGGAUAACGCUUGCCACCUACGUUUUACCGCGGCUGCUGGCACGUAGUUAGCCGUGACUUAUUCAAGAGGUACCGUCCUAUCUCGUCCCUCUCAAAAGCGCUUUACGAUCCGAAGACCUUCAUCGCGCACGCGGCGUUGCUGCUUCAGGCUUUCGCCCAUUGAGCAAUAUUCCUCACUGCUGCCCCCCGUAGG